GCUCAGGAUGAACGCUAGCUACAGGCUUAACACAUGCAAGUCGAGGGGCAGCAUGGUCUUAGCUUGCUAAGGCCGAUGGCGACCGGCGCACGGGUGAGUAACACGUAUCCAACCUGCCGUCUACUCUUGGACAGCCUUCUGAAAGGAAGAUUAAUACAAGAUGGCAUCAUGAGUCCGCAUGUUCACAUGAUUAAAGGUAUUCCGGUAGACGAUGGGGAUGCGUUCCAUUAGAUAGUAGGCGGGGUAACGGCCCACCUAGUCUUCGAUGGAUAGGGGUUCUGAGAGGAAGGUCCCCCACAUUGGAACUGAGACACGGUCCAAACUCCUACGGGAGGCAGCAGUGAGGAAUAUUGGUCAAUGGGCGCAGGCCUGAACCAGCCAAGUAGCGUGAAGGAUGACUGCCCUAUGGGUUGUAAACUUCUUUUAUAAAGGAAUAAAGUCGGGUAUGGAUACCCGUUUGCAUGUACUUUAUGAAUAAGGAUCGGCUAACUCCGUGCCAGCAGCCGCGGUAAUACGGAGGAUCCGAGCGUUAUCCGGAUUUAUUGGGUUUAAAGGGAGCGUAGAUGGAUGUUUAAGUCAGUUGUGAAAGUUUGCAGCUCAACCGUAAAAUUGCAGUUGAUACUGGAUAUCUUGAGUGCAGUUGAGGCAGGCGGAAUUCGUGGUGUAGCGGUGAAAUGCUUAGAUAUCACGAAGAACUCCGAUUGCGAAGGCAGCCUGCUAAGCUGCAACUGACAUUGAGGCUCGAAAGUGUGGGUAUCAAACAGGAUUAGAUACCCUGGUAGUCCACACGGUAAACGAUGAAUACUCGCUGUUUGCGAUAUACAGCAAGCGGCCAAGCGAAAGCGUUAAGUAUUCCACCUGGGGAGUACGCCGGCAACGGUGAAACUCAAAGGAAUUGACGGGGGCCCGCACAAGCGGAGGAACAUGUGGUUUAAUUCGAUGAUACGCGAGGAACCUUACCCGGGCUUAAAUUGCAGAUGAAUUACGGUGAAAGCCGUAAGCCGCAAGGCAUCUGUGAAGGUGCUGCAUGGUUGUCGUCAGCUCGUGCCGUGAGGUGUCGGCUUAAGUGCCAUAACGAGCGCAACCCUUGUUGUCAGUUACUAACAGGUUCCGCUGAGGACUCUGACAAGACUGCCAUCGUAAGAUGUGAGGAAGGUGGGGAUGACGUCAAAUCAGCACGGCCCUUACGUCCGGGGCUACACACGUGUUACAAUGGGGGGUACAGAGGGCCGCUACCACGCGAGUGGAUGCCAAUCCCCAAAACCUCUCUCAGUUCGGACUGGAGUCUGCAACCCGACUCCACGAAGCUGGAUUCGCUAGUAAUCGCGCAUCAGCCACGGCGCGGUGAAUACGUUCCCGGGCCUUGUACACACCGCCCGUCAAGCCAUGGGAGCCGGGGGUACCUGAAGUGCGUAACCGCGAGGAGCGCCCUAGGGUAAAA
rnacentral:rRNA from 1 species